GAUGAAGAACGUAGCGAAAUGCGAUAAGUAAUGUGAAUUGCAGAAUUCAGUGAAUCAUCGAAUCUUUGAACGCACAUUGCGCCCGCCAGCAUUCUGGCGGGCAUGCCUGUUCGAGCGUCAUUUCAACCCCUCAGGCCCUAGCGCCUGGCGUCGGAGGCUUUCCCCCCUCACCGGGGAACCUCUCAGAAAUAGUGGCGGACCCGCCGCGGCUCCGAGCGCAGUAGUUAAAAAGCGUGUCGCUCUGGAGAUCACCGCGGGGAGCCUCGCCGUUAAACCGGGCCGGUGACCUGGCCCACGCACAAGGUUGACCUCGGAUCAGGUAGGAAUACCCGCUGAACUUAAGCAUAUCAAUAAGCGGAGGA
rnacentral:misc_RNA from 1 species